rnacentral:rRNA from 1 species
AAACCGAGAGUGCAAGCGUUAAUCGGAAUUACUGGGCGUAAAGGGCACGUAGGUGGAUGUUUAAGUCGGAUGUGAAAGCCCCAGGCUUAACCUGGGGAUUGCAUUCGAUACUGGGCAUCUAGAGUAUGGUAGAGGGAAGUGGAAUUUCCGGUGUAGCGGUGAAAUGCGUAGAUAUCGGAAGGAACACCAGUGGCGAAGGCGGCUUCCUGGACCAAUACUGACACUGAGGUGCGAAAGCGUGGGGAGCAAACAGGAUUAGAGACCCGAGUAGUCC